UCUCUCUGAAUCUGCGUACGGCUCCGCACACCAGUUGUAAACCAAAGCAAGCAAGCCUGGUCUCGACGCCUUCGCGGGCUAGGGGCCAGGCUACACGAAUAACCCUGGUAAUUCUGAGGCUAAUACGAGACACGAACCUGUCGACUGGGGCUCACGCUUCGGGAAGCGGGGGAUGUGCGACUAUCGGGCCAUCAAAACCGGAAAGAGCGCAUGUUCAGACCACGUUAAAAAGGCCCUCCAGUCCUUCGGGAUCGGGGGGUCGUGGCUCUCGCAUUGUGCUUCUGACCUAUCAACUAGACGGCAGCCUAAGGGACAUGCUUUGGUGACAACGGGUACAGAGGAUAAGGGUUCGAUCCUGGAGAGUGGGCCUGAGAGAUU
rnacentral:rRNA from 1 species